GCCGAAGUGGUGGAAUUGGCAGACGCGUCGGACUCAAAAUCCGAAGAGGGUUUCCCUCGUGUGGGUUCAAGUCCCACCUUCGGCAC
rnacentral:tRNA from 1 species